GCCUUGGUAGCUCAGUUGGUAAAGCAUGAGAUGCUUAAUCUUAGCGUUGUGGGUUCGAGCCCCAUGUUGGGCA